rnacentral:lncRNA from 1 species
AGAGGCCCCUCCCACUGUGCAGUCCUGCUCAGUCCUCUCCCACCUCACCCUUCUUGUUCUUCUCCUUGGUGACCACGGUCAUGGACAUGGCUGUGCCGCUGUCCAGUAGUCCACCUGCAGCCCCAUGAGCUCAGCGCCGACACCCUGGCUGUGGAAGGCAGAGGGAAGUGCGCUCAUUCAUGAUGUCGCUGUGACAUCGUAGGCAAGGAGACAUGGCCGGCAUCUGCCCUAACUUGCUGGCUGGGGCCAGUAAACUGUGAGAAGCUCUGCA